UUUUAUAUAAAAUGUGAACAAAUUGUAAACUCUUCAGGGCAGGAACUGUCUAUUACUCUGUUCCGUGUCCAGCACAACGAGACCCCAUUCUUGGUUGGCCCUUAGGCAUUGCUAU